UUAACAAUCGUAUAAGUAUUUCUGGUUUUAACAAUUAAAUUAUGCGCAAUUCUUCUAAUAGAAUGCCUAUGACUGUUCUAUAUUGCUUAAGUAAAGUUUUAUUGGUUAUUACACUGCAUUGAGACUUUAUUGGAUUUGAAAUGAGUUAUUUGCGUAUAUUUCAUACUUGAAAGCAUUAUUGUUCAAAGGCGAGGAUUUCCGGAUUGUUACGGAUUCGCAAAUUGUGCAUUAAUUUAUAUUAAAAUCUUUGGAUACACUUGUGCUUAUCAUUUCCGUAGGAAAAAUGACAGAUAUUUUGGAUAUUGAUUUUUUUUGUCCUGGUUUGGACUCCUCGUUGCGAGAUGUAUGUUUGUUGAGUUUGUAUGGUGACCUUACUGCAGUAGGCGGUUUUUCACCUCCAACCUGUUGAGGUGGCGUGGAAGACCGGCUGACUUAUUGAUCCUGUUCAGGUGGGAGUGCAGAGCCCUGACUGUAGGUUCAUCGGGUAGCCGGGGUCACCGACCGGUGAACCGAUGGGUCAACGUUAAGGACAUGAGUUCCUUGACAGCUCUAAACCUAGCCGCAGCCACGACAAAGGUUUAGAGAGAUUUCUAGACCAUGUUAUGCUGGUUGAAGGAACAAGACCCUACUAGCUUGCAUGUGCGAGUAUAGAGCCAGUUAAGGCUGAGUUGAGGGUUACAGUGGAUCCCUUUUCUUUCUUCUGCCAGUGUCGUGGUUGUGUAGCGGUUGUACCUGCAUGCUGGAUUAAUCGUGCAAAUUGUAUCCAUGUAUUUGAACCCUGUAACUUUGUAAAGUUAGUAUUGUGCCCUGUAAGUCUGAUUUGGUUUUUCAAGUGUGUCAGUUUUCUAGUUAAAAUGGGUUUUUAA